UUGCCUUGUUGCCCAGGCUAGUCUUGAACUCCAGGACUCAAGUGAUCUGCCUUUAAGGUUAAGGUAAAAAUCCUUCAGUGACAUACAAGGGUCUUUAUAAUCAGGUUCUGCCUGCCUUUCCAGUGUCAUCCGUGGCACAUGCUGUUCCCAGAACUGCUCAAGCUCUUCUCUGGCUUUGCCUGUAUGUUAGUCCCCCUUGACCUGGCAGAUUUCCACUCCGCCUGCUAGAGUCAACUCAUACAUCUCCUCCUCCAGGAAGCCUCAUCUGUCACCUCAAGGUCUCUGUGUGUACCUUGAUCACAUAUUGCAUGGCUGGAAAGUUUUGUCUACAUUUUCUUCUUUCCAUUAGACUUUCAGUUCCUGCCUUGGUCAUAUUCGCAUAAUCUCAGGACCUCCAGCUCCUAGCCCUGUUCCUGGCACACUGAGUACAUAUUUGAGUGAGUGUGGAAAUGAGCUUGUAAUUUUGUCUUUUUGCUCCCUACACGGUGCUUGCUCAGCUAAGGUCAAUCUAUCUCUGAUUGUUGUUUGCUAAGCUCUCAUUCUCGGAAACCCGUGUUCAAGCUUCUAUCUGGGGAGAUGAGUCUGAAGUAUGGGAGUCGUGUCUAAUUCCAUGGCCUGAACAUUACCAGCAGUUAAUUCAUUGCUGUUGUUUGGAAAAUGUUAAUUAAUCAACAUGAUUCUCCUGGUGCUCAAGGGAAAAAGUCGAACUGCUUUAAAAGCAGCAUUUACUGCUUCAGGUUCAAAUCAGAGAGAAGGAGAAUCACUUUUGGAUGGCUUUCCAUCAAUCCUGGAUUGCUGCUUAUCUCUAGAAUGGACACAGCUGAUUAUCUCUAGAAUGGACACAGCUGUGGGAAGAGUUCAGGUCAGGGCAGGUGUGCAACUUUUUAGCUUUCUCUGGGUCAGUUUGAAUACAGUAAUUUCUCUGAAGAAUUGUGCAGUCUUAGAACUUGCUACCCCCAGGUAGUAAUUUCUGGAUUAAUGAUCAUUUUGAAAUAAAGCUGCUACUGAUAUUCCUUCA